rnacentral:lncRNA from 1 species
UGCAGCACGAGUGGGGGCUUCCUUCUCUGGUGCAGAGGUCGCUCUGGGGCUUCAUGGGAGAAACCCCCACAGUGGUCCCUCAUCCUCAGACCAAGGUUCAGGCUGACAUCGUAUCUCAGGAACUGCUUUUCCUUCCAAGGAGCGUCUGCCACCACCUGGAGGUCCACCUCCAGAAAAUGAAGUUGUGCCACAAGUGGGGCCUGCCCCAGAGAAUCCUCGAGUCCACAAAACACUUCCUCCCCAUCGCUUCCACGGGAAGAGUUCCAAAUCCCCAUAGGGCCAAGGGAAAGGACUCUUUUGGGGAAGAAUCCAGCACCGGGGAAGCUCAGGUGGAGCACGUAAAGCGGAUGCAGGGCAAGGGGACACCUUUGCAAAAGAGAAGUGGCAUGAGUGGCCCUUUCAGGAGAAGUACAUACACGACCCAUCAAAAGGAUGUGGAAUUCCAGCCAGUGGGUGACUUUGGGAUGUCUGCCGUCUUUCCCAGGAAACCCCUUCUGCCCCUUGCCUCUCUUUCACAAGAUGAAAAGGGCAUUCCUCACACACAGCUCCCACAGCGUCCCUGCAGCCAUGUUCUCCCAGGGGCCACAUAUUACAGCCACAGCGAAGCAGGUGGGCCGCCAGACCCAAUCACCAGAACAAGACGAGUUCCACCCCAGAGACACUCAACAGUGGAUGGCAGUGAUGACAACCAUCUUCUCCUCAGGCCAAGAGGGCAUCCUAUGGAGGUAGCCCCAGAUGUGGGAUGUCACAAGGGCAUCACAGGGGCCAAGUUCCUUCCAGAGAAAGCCUGGCAAUUCCUGGAACUCCACAUCCGAGACAAACGAAUCCAGCAUGAGUGGAGACUACCUUCCCUUGUUCGGCGAUCCCUGCGGGCUUUUGCCCCACUCCCACAUGGAACCCAGAGAAACACGAAGGCUGGAGGGGCACUGCAAGACACUUCUGGAAAAGGAGGCAACAAGACUCUCCGGGAGCAACAGACCUCCGUGUUAGAAGACUACCUGGCUUCGUACCAGCUUCGGCAUCUUCUGGAUGAGGAACUGCAGCACUGCCUGGAAACACAUGUCAGGGACUGGGUCGUGGAGCACAAGUGGGCCCUUCCCAAGCAGAUCCAGGACCUGGUGAAGGCCAUUCCAGCUCCUCAACCACAGGAGCCCAUCAUGGGAGGAAUAAGGGUUCAGCAUGGAUCCUCCCAAGGGCAGGGCUUCCACUCCCGCUCUAAUGGAAAAGGAGACUCGGUGCCACUUCCUGUCCAGUCGAGGAGAAGAGCCCCUGAAAGGCCAAAGGAGCCCAUCCGGAAAGAGACACCAGGAGCAAAGGGUGGAGGGGUAGCCAUCACCUCUUUGGAGGCCAAACCCUCAUUCCUCACAGAAGGAGCCUGGGACCUCUUGGAAUUCCAUGUUGCAAGCAAG